rnacentral:rRNA from 1 species
CAGCCGCCGCGGUAAUACGUAGGGUGCGAGCGUUAAUCGGAUUUACUGGGCGUAAAGCGUGCGCAGGCGGCCCGUUAAGACAGGUGUGAAAUCCCUGGGCUCAACCUAGGAAUUGCGCUUGUGACUGGCGGGCUCGAGUACGGUAGAGGGGGGUGGAAUUCCUGGUGUAGCAGUGAAAUGCGUAGAGAUCAGGAGGAACACCGAUGGCGAAGGCAGCCCCCUGGGCCUGUACUGACGCGCAUGCACGAAAGCGUGGGGAGCAAACAGGAUUAGAUACCCUGGUAGUCCACGCCCUAAACGAUGGGUACUAGCCGUUUGGUGCGCGAAAGCGCUGAGUGGCGAAGCUAACGCGUGAAGUCCCCCGCCUGGGGAGUACGGCCGCAAGGUUGAAACUUAAAGGAAUUGGCGGG